UCUCUCAUAAUUGUUUGAGCAGUCAUGUAAACAUGAAACUUCUCUUCUUUCAGUUUUUGACACCUUGCUUGCCUUCCAUUGUAAAUCUUAGGCUGUGGUCGUACUACCUUGAGCAGUGCACAUAUUACCUGUUUGUAUCCCAUUGAAACUUGAGUGGUAUACAUGACAACUAGUUUCCUAGAGAGAUAAUUGGCUUCCUAGAGAGAUACAAUCCUCUACUAUGUACCCAUUUGAUGCAGGCUGAACUAGGCUUAUGAUCCAUGGGUUAGGCCCAUUAAUCUCAAGCCCAACAACUGGCCCAUUAAUCCUCUGACACCUACGUUUGCAAUUUCUCCAAAAUUAUGGCAUUAAUAUCUGCACAAGGAAGAGUGAUGUGGACUGGGUUCCUCUGAAGUUUCUCAUACUUAUUUUAAGCUUGGGCCAAGAGCUUCAAAUUGGACUGGAAAAAUCCACUUAUUAAACUGCUGACGUCAGAAUGGAGACAGAAGCUAGCAUGACUACUAUACUGGAUCGACUGAGUUUACUAACAAAUUAUACUUACUUUGAAAAGUUCAUUUUGGUUUUUUAUUUGUUGAUACUUCUUUUGAUAUGCUCAGUUCUGUUUAGUCCCCAGCAUUUGCUUUCUCCCACGUUGCAUGUUUGCCAUAUGCAUGUUGCGGCAUUAGUAGUGUUUUGAUGUAUUUUAGAAUUUUGAAUAUAUUCGUACUUAUAUUUUGAAAAAUUGGUGGUAUUUCAGUUGUUUAAUGAGAAACAAUUGGGUGUAAGUAGUGGUGUUUUAUUAAUGGCUUGAAGUAGUGCUCAUUGGCAGGAGGCAAUGGACUGAAAUUAGUAUGGAGAAUGAGUGUAGUAAAAGGUUGAUUGAAUGUCACCAUCUAACCAUCUAAAUGUCAAAGCUAGAUGAUGUCCAAAAAUUAGAUAGGUAUGAGAUGUUGGGUGAGUUCUUUGAUUGAUUGGAGAGUUCGAUUUGGUUGGUUCGAUUCAAUGGAUCGAUGGGUGUAUCUAUCAAUCAAAGUGGGUGAGAAGAAUUCAUAUCAGUAGCUCAUUACAUUCUUUUUGUGUUUAUAUUUUUAUUAUGUCAAUGGAUUCUCAUCAUUUUAUUUUUUAAGUUUCUAAAUAUCCCAGAAAAGGUUGGUUUGACUGCGAGGUUUGCUAAUUCCACACAUUGCUCAGGAGGCCUGUGCAUCCAAAUCAAAUGUUUGAAUGACUUCUUGCUGGAUAGAAAGAUAUGGAACAGAAAACUGAUUAAAUGAGGUUUUCUUUGUUCUUUGGCUGGCUUAGUAAAAAUAGUUCCGAACACACAAAAUGAUCUCCCAAACAGUACCAAUUUCUGUAGAUAUAUUGAGAAAUGAAAAAUGGGUGGCAUCCAAACUCACCCCUAUAGUAAUUCAGGCUUCUUGUAAUGGCUGCCCUCCUUGCACUUGGUGUUGUGUAGCUGGAACAUUCUCCUGCUUGGACAUGCAAGUCAUGGGACCCGCCUCAUUACUCUUCUAGAGCGAUGCUGCAUCGUAUCAAUUUGUUUUAUGGUUUUCUGCCGGAAUGGCUUGGCAAAAGCAUAAAACCUUAAGGAGAAAUGAUGUUAAUUUUCUUCAUAACUAGAUACUAUUAGUAAAAUGCAUGUUGGCCCAUGUACAUCAGUUUCACCACCUCGUGUUAGGAUAUGAUCGCAAAAAUGACUGGAUCCAAAACUCAAGUAGGCCAUGCCAAAUUAAACAAUGGAGAUUGAACACCCACCAUUGAAACCUUCAUUGGCGAAAACUGAUGGACAGGGUAGAUGUCAUGUGGACAUGUUGGUGGGACUGUUAUGUUUUUCGACAGACUUUCAAGGCUGGUGCUAACUUGUAUGGUAUUGGCCAAUAUGGGGUGGUUUUCAAAAAUAAGGGUGGAGUAAACUAGAGCUCUGAGGGUUUAUUUGGACUUUAAGAUUUCACCUGACAUUCUAUGGGGAGUUCACAUGUUGAAAAGGGGGACAUGGUGGCAGUUUCAGUUGCUGUUGAGCAACCUGGUCUUGAUGGUGGAUGGGGAGUUGGUAUAACUUGUGGAACUGUUCUCCAAGGAUUGCAAACAGACACCUUCGCAGCUAGACGUGCCUCUUCAAUUAAUUGGAAAGGAUCCACAUUCCAAAGCUAAGGAUAUGCAGUGGGAUGACGAGGGUGUGCUCGUUCAGAGUAUUGAAAUCUUUUGAAGGUUUGUAAACUGCUUUAUCAGCUAGUGUUUCCUAGUAUACUCUGAAUAUUGUCUCUUGUAUCCUGGUGGUCAUUGCCAGGAAUAAAUUGAAAAUGCAUUGUUUCGGAUGCUUUUCUUAAUGUAAUGCAAACUGUAGAAGCACGUCCUCAUUUAAAUUGAUAUGAUAUAAAAUCAGUACACAUUAUAACAUUAGGGUUCCCGCACA